rnacentral:misc_RNA from 1 species
GAUGAAGAACGUAGCGAAAUGCGAUAAGUAAUGUGAAUUGCAGAAUUCAGUGAAUCAUCGAAUCUUUGAACGCACAUUGCGCCCGCCAGCAUUCUGGCGGGCAUGCCUGUUCGAGCGUCAUUUCAACCCUCGAGCCCCCCCGGGGGCCUCGGUGUUGGGGGAUGGCACACCAGCCGCCCCCGAAAUGCAGUGGCGACCCCGCCGCAGCCUCCCCUGCGUAGUAGCACACACCUCGCACCGGAGCGCGGAGGCGGUCACGCCGUAAAACGCCCAACUUUCUUAGAGUUGACCUCGGAUCAGGUAGGAAUACCCGCUGAACUUAAGCAUAUCAAUAAGCGGAGGA